UCAUUGUGCAUGUAUAUGUAACAGAUUUCCUCCUCUUCGUCUGAGGAGGAGUAAGGAUCGGACCAAAACGCAGCGUGGUAAGUGUCCAUAUUGAUUUAUUCAAAAAACACAACUGAACACUGGAACAAAAUAAUAAACGUGAAUCACCGAAACAGUUCUGUAAGGUGACAACACACACUAGACAGAAAAUAAACACCCACAAAACUCAGGUGGAAAAAAGGCUACCUAAGUAUGAUUCUCAAUCAGAGACAACUAACGACACNNNNNNNNNNAAUGACCUGCAGAUCAUUGUGCAUGUAUAUGUAACAGAUUUCCUCCUCUUCGUCUGAGGAGGAGUAAGGAUCGGACCAAAACGCAGCGUGGAGACGAAUGGCGUACAGAGGGAUCUAUCAUAGCGACCAGCUUUAAGCCCCCAAAAUUACAAACAAACUAAAGGCGAAGGAUCGAUAGAGAGUGUCUCACGGAAUGAUGAACUGGCACUUCGGGGUAGGGGAAAAUCAAUGUCUCUCACUCUCUUUCUUCUCUCUCUCUUUCGCCCUCUCUCUCUUUCGCACCACCACACACUAGUGUUUUACUGUGUGUUUACUGAGUCUGUGUGGGUUUUCUUACCACAGUGAUUUAACAUCCAAAUGUUUAUUUUUCCCUCUUCCAGCAUCGACACUUUGACCUGUGAGAGAGAGGAGAGUCCUAUAAUGGCCCAUAGGAUAAGCAGUAAAAAAACAACUGAGGAGCAUCUGUUUGUGGAUCCAGUCCAUGUCAACCUUCAGAGCAACCAGACAUCUUCCCACUAACACAUCUGACUUCUGCUGAAAGGUACUGUAAUAUUGAAGGAUAUUACUAUAUUAUUAAUCAAGAUUUGGUAGAAGUAGUUUCAGCCGUGGAUAGUUUAAUAGUUGGGUCGUUCCACCAAUUGAGAACCUUUUGGGUAGUGUAACUUGGUAAGAAAUAUAUAUACAGUACCCGUCAAAAGUUUGGACACCUAUCUCAGUCAAGGGUUUUUCUUCAUUUGUACUAUUUUCUACAUUGGUUCCAACCGCCGUGUCUUUGUGGCCUCCACAAUCUCCCGACCUCAACCCAAUUGAGAUGGUUUGGGAUGAGUUGGACCGCAGAGUGAAGGAAAAGCAGCCAAUAAGUGCUCAGCAUAUGUGGGAACCUUCAAGACUGUUGUAAAAGCAUUCCAGGUGACUUCCUCGUAAAGCUGGUUGAGAGAAUGCCAAGAGUGUGCAAAAGCUGUCAUCAAGGCAAAGGGUGGCUUUGAAGAAUCUAAAACAUAAAACAUAUUUUGAUUUGUUUAAUACAUUUUUAGUUACGACAUGAUUCCAUA
rnacentral:lncRNA from 13 species